AAGGGUAUAGCUCAGUGGUAGAGUGCAUGCCUAGCAUGCAAGCAUGCAUGAGGUCCUGGGUUCAAUCCCCAGUACCUCCA
rnacentral:tRNA from 1 species